rnacentral:rRNA from 1 species
GACGAGGGAUCCUAGCGUUGUUCGGAAUCAUUGGGCGUAAAGCGGGUGUAGGCGGCUCUAUAAGUCAGAUGUGAAAGCCCUGGGCUCAACCCAGGAAGUGCAUUUGAUACUGCAGAGCUUGAGUGUGGGAGAGGCUAGUGGAAUUCCUGGUGUAGUGGUGAAAUACGUAGAUAUCAGGAGGAACAUCGGUGGCGAAGGCGGCUAGCUGGCCCAACACUGACGCUGAGAUCCGAAAGCGUGGGGAUCAAACAGG